AAUAGGUAUUUUAUGCGGCUCAAAUUCUUCUAAAAAUAUCACAACCUCAAUCCCUUGCUUUGAGGACGUUGUUUAUUCACGAAUAAUCAUGAAUAAAAUAGGUACUCUCAAAACACAGAGUGGGUCUCUAAUAAGCUUUCAAGCUUCUAUAAAUCACUUAGUCCCUUCCUAAUUUGACAAGAGCAAUGGGUUUCUUAUUGUCUCUAGUUUCCUCAUAAUAUUCAACUUAUAAUAUUGUUAGUUCUUCUUCUUAUCUAUAUAGUUCUUCUCCAAAUUCCUUAUCUCGACUCAUCAGGUCGGUUCGUUAAAAAUAUAUCUCUUGCUUAUAGCAAUGUUUGUCUUAAAGCUCUUAUAUCAACGUAUGUCAUCACUAAUCAUUAUUC
rnacentral:lncRNA from 1 species